CUGUAAAACUUCACUGAAAGUGUCCUGAAAUCCACCUGAAAUGAGUGACUGUGUACGAUUUCCUGCAUCUACAUAUUGUGGUGAUUCAGAUUGCCACUGAAUAUGAGUGAGAAGACCAGCAGAGUUCAGCCCUUUCUGGAGAUGCCUUUCCAGCUCACUGCAGGAGCAACAGCCCUGGUGUAAUUCCAGGAAGGAAGCAGAACUCCUGGAGUCAGCACGGCAGGGUUUGUCACAGGCUCAUGUUUUACUCCCUACAUGGAGCAUUUCAUGUCGGCAUGCACAGAGCAUUCCCUUCUUCUCCCUAGAAAUGUUCUCUCCAGACUCAGCAGCAGCCCAGGAGCUUCUAACACUGAUGUGAGAAGGGCAGGCCGGCGUUUCGGUGUCUGUCCCCUCUCUCCAUGUUUCCCGGAUCCAUCUGCUCAGCACUUGCCGGGAAGGACAUGUCUUGCUGCUCAUUCAGUCAGGGGCAAUGGAGAAUCCCUUUCAGCUGCAGCAUCCUGUGGCCUUCAGACAACUGAAAUAUCAGUUAUGGAACAGCAACAGGCAGGAGUCAAAGUAUGUGGAGCUAUUUCUAUGGCUGAAGAGAAGACAGCUGGUCAGCCACAAAUACCAUUCUUACAAGUGCAGUCCCAAUAGCCACAUUAUGAAUUAAAAGCAGAGGAAUGCAGCUAUCACAUGAGGAGCACUCAGCUGGUCCCCUGCUGAACCAGGAGCAGGAGCUGUGCACUCUGGGGAAGGUAAGCUCUAAUCCUCAGCUACCACUGUCCCCCUGAUCCUGUCACACUGAUCCACGACUCAGUCCCAGACACGUACAGACAGGCCAUGCAAAAUGUCUGUUAUAAAUAAAAUGAGCACUCCUUGAAAUCAUCUAGUUUUGAAGGCAGACUGUCACUUUGAACUCCUAGACACUUGAGGAAAGCUCCUUUGUGCAGGUUGCAGGAACCAUGAGGAAUUUCACAUGCUGUGCAGACAACCCUGGUAGCCAGAGCCGAGUGCCUAUUUUCAGCCUGGAUACUGCUCUGGUAGCUGUCAUGAUGAAUCCUGAUCCUUUCCUGGUCCUGCCUGUGAGUGGGAGCUGCAGUAGCUCUGGGGGGGAGCCUUAAGUCCUUAAAAGGAGUGUGGGAGUUUCAAGACUUUUCUUCCUCUUCUUACCCCCACUGAAGGCAAUUCAGAGUUCAUCCUGCCUGAAUUCACAGUCUGGGGAGAAUGUGCUUUACUGUAGGUGGCUCUGAACUGAGGUUGCAUUUAUUUCACUGAUGGCAAUUACAGAGCAGGCACUGGAGCAGACUGAUGUUCAGUGAGCAGUAAUGCUGGCCUGCUUGCAAGUUUGCAUGAAGCUUCUCUGCUCUAAGAAACUCAAAGCAUUUUCAAAGAAAACUAGAAUUCCCUCUCACUGCUUUACAAAGGCAGAAACUGAGACCCAGAGAGCUGUGACUUCCCCCACCUCAUCUAGUGAGGUGAUAACAGCUACAGAAAUAGAAUUCAUGACUUCCAGACCCUCUCCUCCUCCUGACCACUAACACAUUUUGCCACCCAAGAUCAUUUGCCAUGUCAUCAUCAAGGCAUAUCUGGGUAACACAGUUUCUCCA